rnacentral:rRNA from 1 species
AGUAAAUAGAUACCCAGGUAGUCCACGCCGUAAACGAAGUCGACUUGGAGGUUGUGCCCUUGAGGCGUGGCUUCCGGAGCUAAACGCGUUAAAGUCGACCGCCUGGGGAGUACGGCCGCAAGGUUAAAACUCAAAUGAAUUGACGGGGCCCGCACAAGCGGUGGAGCAUGUGGUUUAAUUCGAUGCAACGCGAGGAACCUUACCUACUCUUGACAUCCAGAGAACUUAGCAGAGAUGCUUUGGUGCCUUCGGGAACUCUGAGACAGGUGCUGCAUGGCUGUCGUCAGCUCGUGUUGUGAAAUGUUGGGUUAAGUCCCGCAACGAGCGCAACCCUUAUCCUUUGUUGCCAGCGGUUCGGCCGGGAACUCAAAGGAGACUGCCAGUGAUAAACUGGAGGAAGGUGGGGAUGACGUCAAGUCAUCAUGGCCCUUACGAGUAGGGCUACACACGUGCUACAAUGGCGCAUACAAAGAGAAGCGACCUCGCGAGAGCAAGCGGACCUCAUAAAGUGCGUCGUAGUCCGGAUUGGAGUCU